GGUGGUGCGAAUGUAUUUUGGUGAUGAGUGGUAGCACGCGUCCCCGGUAUGGAUGAAACGCGGGUUCGACUCCCGCCUGAGGUCG